AGACUCUUGCACAACACAGUUUGACCUCGAAAACUGUGUCUCAGAUUUUUCCUAUUGUAUUUCAUUCUCUGAUAAAUUUUCAAUGAAGUUUGCAGCAUCAAUUCAUAAGAGAUCACUGAAUUCAAUAGGGUAUAAAAUUUGUUCUAUUGAUGUUUUUGGAAAUCUGAGACAUGGUUUUGGAGGUCAAGCUGUGUUGUACAAGAAUCU
rnacentral:sRNA from 1 species